rnacentral:misc_RNA from 1 species
CGAGGCGGCCACCCAGCCGG